GGUCAUACCAUAUUGAAACACUGGUUCCCGUAUGCUCACAGAAGUUAAGCAAUGUCAAGCCUGGUUAGCAUCUAGAUGGGUGACUGCUUGUAAAUACCAGGUGCUGUAAG